GACGGAGGGUGCUAGCGUUGUUCGGAAUUACUGGGCGUAAAGGGCGCGUAGGCGGCUUCUUGCGUCGGAUGUGAAAGCCCGGGGCUCAACCCCGGAACGGCAUCCGAUACGGGGAGCUGGAGACCGGGAGAGGAGGGUGGAAUAGCCAGUGUAGAGGUGAAAUUCGUAGAUAUUGGCUGGAACACCGGUGGCGAAAGCGGCUCUCUGGCCCGGUUCUGACGCUGAGGCGCGAAAGCGUGGGGAGCAAACAGG
rnacentral:rRNA from 1 species